UAAAAAUAGGGCAUCUAUGCGAAUAGUCAAUUAGGUCAGAAUAAAAGCUAAUCAUACGAUGCUGUAGGAACAUGGUGGAUUCAUGCAAUCGUCUAUUUGGUUGUAACAAUCAAUCGAACGACGUCUAAUUACAGCUUCCAAAGCACGUCAUCGGAAUCCAAACAUAAUGCAAGGGUCCACAUAAAUGGAGCGUGGAGUUUUAACAAGCUGAGUUAGAUUUUAGGGGCGACCAGGAAGACCGAAUCCCUAUAAUGAACUGCCAAAAUAAUCACAUGUCUAAGGCCCAACUAGGCUUUUGCUUCACAAAAUGUGAAGAUACGGUUCCAACCAUCACGUGAAACCGCGAGACGCGUUAAGGAAGCCGUGGAAUCAUCAUCGGCUCCUAAUUCAACCGUCAAUGGUGGUUGAACAACCGCAUCGCGAACUCCGCAACAUAACUCCCUGCCUACAAUUUUCAUGUCAAGAAGAGCAGUCGAGAAUGCGCAUGGAUAAAUGGGUUUCCUCGCCCGUCCCUGUCGUCCACUCUGAUUUGGUGUGUGCCUACCCUGGCCUGCAUUCUACCUGGAUGGGGUUAGAUUUUUGGUCUGUAAGUGCUGCAUCGCCUUAUGACUGAGGCUCCAGAAUAUGGGCCUUUCAGUUAGAGGGUAGUACUAGUAUUGUCCGAAAUUCCAAACCUUGCACCUGAAUGCUGAGUUCAGAUUAGAAAGACCUAUUUCUACUACUACUACUACGACUAACAGUAUUUCUACUGUGGUUCAUUUGAAGUAAAAUUAGAGAAAGAAUGAACAGUCGAGUUCAGAAUUCAAUAUGUUGGCGAAAACCAGGGGCGAAACAGGAACAACUAGGAUCAGAAGUUGCAAGGAUGGGCUUCAGGGUGGGCGCUGUAAGUGUGGAGAGAGCAUUGUUGUAAGCUGUUGUGUCGAGGUUUAUCUAUUAGUUUCAACUUUCAGAUGAGGAGGAUUCUUGAAGAAGCGGGAAAGAGGAAUUUGCAUGGCCUCUGCACACCUACCGAGGCAGCACAGUGGAAAGAGACCCAAAAGCAAAGCCGUUGCCCCCUCCAGCCUUCCAUGUGAUUCCGCUGUUUUAGUCUUGUACAAUUGUUGUCAUUGCUGAGCCUUCAGAUUCAUGGAAACGUGGUGACUCUCUUGACUGUUCUCUUUGUUGUGGCCCCACAGGCACCUCAACGUUGCCUCUGUUGCACUGCUCGCAUUAUUCCGAGUCCGAUUCAUGGACGAAAUCUGAGACAAGGCCUUCAACUCCGAAGCUGAACGUUGCAUAUUCAGGGAACAUUAAUACACAGUCCACAUAAAAGUAGUCUUGGUGGGCAAUGGCACACCUAAGCUACUCCCCAUUGCAGAACGAGUUCGGAGACGACAGCGAUGAUGAUUUCGAUUUCGAUUUCGAGACUGCACGACGGGAGCGUGGGAGCAGCAGGCAGGAGUAUCUGCGCAGCUACACAUUCACCAGGAAGCCGACGACGCGUGAGAAGAUGAAGAACAGGUUAGAGAGGGUGAAGGCAACCGCGUGGGCAAUGGUGUCGUGGAAUUGCAAUGGUCUUCCACACGGAGCGAGGUGGAUGAAGAAGAAACUGGCUUUGCAACGCCCCCGCUCGCUCAGCCAUGGCGGGCAGCGGCUUCCAAGACCCAUUUGCACAACUUUCAUGCCGCAAUGCUUCCUUGCCGUGUGAAUUAAACCUCGACUGGUCUUGCAGAUUUUUAUAAAGAGCGACGCAGGAUAUCCUCAGGAGCUCGAAGAAUGAAUGCGGUGCCUCGCCAAGCAUACUAACUGGUCACAGUAAUUUAACCCCUAGAGCUUUAAAGGGUCAUCAAGUGUGGAUUUUGCAAAUGAUGCCUUCGACUCUUGAAUUGGAAGCUUAAGAUUCAAAUCGACAGCAACGAUGUAGCAGCUUUGAUCGAGGAGAGGUGAUACAUAUACGUGGCAACGAGAUUAAGAAUCUACGAGUUCAGAGUUUCUUCUAAGAUGGUUGGUGUCUCAGGUAGAUUAUUCAGAGUCUGCAAUCGCUCAAUUGCACAGUUUAGCCCAGGAUUAUGUAAAAUAUAAGAAACGAGUGGGAAAAUGAGAGUGAUGUUCAGAAACAGAAAUGAAGUCCAGCUCAAAGUCGCUGCAUGGGUCCAUCCGAUAUAAGAAUCGUUCCUGAAACUGAAGAAGGUUCUUUCUCAUAUUUUAUUUUAACAACUAGCUUUUGAAUGCAUACUUUGAGCAAAUUCA